rnacentral:lncRNA from 1 species
AAAUACUCAAGCUCACGACCUUUGCGGAGGUCUUCGAUCGAGCACUGUGGGCGGAGCACGGAGAUGCCCACGUUCGGGAGAAGCGUGAGCUUUUGGCCGAGUCCAAGGAUAAGGGCAAGAAACGCCAAGGCGGCGGUAGUUCGGGGGGACAAACACAUUACAAGAAACCCCCAAAGUAUUCGCGCACUCAACAGAAGAG